AAAUCGCUCGUUGUGUCACUGUAGAGCGUUGGACUUCUAAUCCAAAGGUCGUAGGUUUGAAUCCUACCUGGAAUG